GAUGAGCGCUGGCGGCGUGCUUAACACAUGCAAGUCGAACGGUGAAGGCGGAGCUUGCUCUGCUGGAUCAGUGGCGAACGGGUGAGUAACACGUGAGCAAUCUGCCCUGACUCUGGGAUAAGCGCUGGAAACGGCGUCUAAUACUGGAUACGAGCUGCGAAGGCAUCUUCAGCAGCUGGAAAGAAUUUCGGUCAGGGAUGAGCUCGCGGCCUAUCAGCUUGUUGGUGAGGUAAUGGCUCACCAAGGCGUCGACGGGUAGCCGGCCUGAGAGGGUGACCGGCCACACUGGGACUGAGACACGGCCCAGACUCCUACGGGAGGCAGCAGUGGGGAAUAUUGCACAAUGGGCGAAAGCCUGAUGCAGCAACGCCGCGUGAGGGACGACGGCCUUCGGGUUGUAAACCUCUUUUAGCAGGGAAGAAGCGAAAGUGACGGUACCUGCAGAAAAAGCGCCGGCUAACUACGUG
rnacentral:rRNA from 1 species